rnacentral:rRNA from 1 species
AUGGCUCAGGAUGAACGCUAGCGACAGGCCUAACACAUGCAAGUCGAGGGGCAGCGCGGAGUAGCAAUACUUGGCGGCGACCGGCGCACGGGUGAGUAACACGUAUGCAACCAACCCAUAACAGGGGGAUAACCCGGAGAAAUCCGGACUAAUACCGCAUAAGACCACGAUAUCGCAUGAUAGUAGAGGUCAAAUAGUUUAUAGGUUAUGGACGGGCAUGCGUCUGAUUAGCUGGUUGGCGGGGUAACGGCCCACCAAGGCAUCGAUCAGUAGGGGUUCUGAGAGGAAGGUCCCCCACAUUGGAACUGAGACACGGUCCAAACUCCUACGGGAGGCAGCAGUGAGGAAUAUUGGUCAAUGGGCGAAAGCCUGAACCAGCCAUGUCGCGUGAAGGAAUGAAGGUCCUAUGGAUUGUAAACUUCUUUUGCAGGAGGGUAAAGUGAGCUACGUGUAGUUCAUUGCAAGUACCCUGCGAAUAAGCAUCGGCUAACUCCGUGCCAGCAGCCGC